GUCCCCAUCGUCUAGUGGCCCAGGACACUGGCCUUUCACGCCGGGAACAGGGGUUCAAAUCCCCUUGGGGACG
rnacentral:tRNA from 1 species